UUUAAAAGAGGAAAUAAUUGGUGAAUGGUCACUUAAAUAAUGAGAAAUUGUAUCAUUUCGCAAACAACAUGAAUCAUCUACUUUACACAGCACGUGAUCCAAAAUGUUGCCACUUAAAGGUCUUGUGGGGACUGUAUUCGAGCAAAUAUAAUUAUACGAUUCCAGUAAUCUUAGAUAUCUAUCAGAAAUGUUAUGGAGUGCCCUGUUGAUAGGUAAUCAGCAAAUCUCCCAUAAUCGAAGUUGGGUGGCCGAUAAACUCCAUGAAUAUGGUAAAAGUGCCCUUUUAUUAUGAGUUCAAUUUGAAUGUGGUGAAAGCCAUCGAUACAAACAUUUUUCAAUAAUUUACUUGUAGAAUUUUUAUGUACAAAAACAGCUAAACCUCCAUUAGAUUGAUCUCUACAUGAAAAAAAUGAAUUAUAAUUGGGAAUCUCAUAAAGUGAACAAAAAUCAUUUUUCAGCCAGGUUUCGCCUAAGACAACUAUAUCAACAGAAGUUUUACUGCUGUCCAAGGUUUGCAAAAUAUCAUCAAAUUUGUUAAGAUCAUUGAUUGCUCUAACGUUCCACUGUAGUAUUUUUAAAAACUUAUUAUCAUUCAAAGAGUAGCUUGCAUUAAAAUCUUCAAUGUUAUCGUGCGAAAAAUUUUUAAUUUCAUUAUACAUUUUUAAAUAAAAUUUGCAU